rnacentral:tRNA from 1 species
GCUCAGGUAGCGCAGCUUGGUAACGCGCCACACUGGAAAAAAGUGAUUUCCAUCACUGAAUCAAGAAAUGUGGUGUCUCACGACUCGUGAGUUCAAAUCUCACCCUGAGCG